rnacentral:rRNA from 1 species
AACGAACGCUGGCGGCAUGCCUAACACAUGCAAGUCGAACGAUACCGUCGGGUCUUUGUGCGAACGGGUUCGUAAGGCGUGGGAACCGUCCCUUAGGGUGGGAAUAACUCCCCGAAAGGGGUGCUAAUAGCGAAUAAUUGCUACUGACCAAUGAUUUAUUGCCUUUGGAUGUGUCCGCGUUGAAUUAGCUAUUUGGUAGCGUAAAAGCCUACCAAGGUGAAGAUCCAUAGCUGGUGUGAGAGCAUGAUCAGCCACACUGGGACUGAGACCAGGCCGAGAUUCCUACGGGAGGAAGCAGUGGGGACUAUUGGACAAUGGGCGAAAGCAUGAUCCAGCCAUGCCGCGUGAGUGAUGAAGGAGUUAGGGUUGUAAAGCUCUUUUAAAAGCGAUGAUAAUGACAGUACCGGGAGAAUAAGCUCCGGCUAACUACGUG